rnacentral:rRNA from 1 species
CUCCAGACUCCUACGGGAGGCAGCAGUGGGGAAUAUUGCACAAUGGGGGGAACCCUGAUGCAGCGACGCCGCGUGAGUGAAGAAGUAUUUCGGUAUGUAAAGCUCUAUCAGCAGGGAAGAAGAUGACGGUACCUGACCAAGAAGCCCCGGCUAACUACGUGCCAGCAGCCGCGGUAAUACGUAGGGGGCAAGCGUUAUCCGGAAUUACUGGGUGUAAAGGGAGCGUAGACGGUGAUGCAAGUCUGGAGUGAAAGGCGGGGGCCCAACCCCCGGACUGCUCUGGAAGCUGUGUAACUUGAGUGCAGGAGAGGUAAGCGGAAUUCCUAGUGUAGCGGUGAAAUGCGUAGAUAUUAGGAGGAACACCAGUGGCGAAGGCGGCUUGCUGGACUGUAACUGACACUGAGGCUCGAAAGCGUGGGGAGCAAACAGGAUUAGAUACCCCCGUA